rnacentral:tRNA from 2 species
GGAGCUUUGGCAGACUUGGUGUAUGUGCGGGACUGAAAAUCCCGAAAACGUGGUUCGACUCCACGAGGCUCCAC